rnacentral:tRNA from 1 species
GGGCUGAAGCUCAGUGGCAGAGUGCUUGCCUAGCACGUGUGAGGCACUGGGUUCAAUCCUCAGCAACACA